rnacentral:rRNA from 1 species
AGUGAACGCUGGCGGUAGGCCUAACACAUGCAAGUCGAACGGCAGCACAGUAAGAGCUUGCUCUUACGGGUGGCGAGUGGCGGACGGGUGAGGAAUACAUCCGAAUCUACUUUUUCGUGGGGGAUAACGUAGGGAAACUUACGCUAAUACCGCAUACGACCUACGGGUGAAAGCAGGGGAUCUUCGGCCCUUGCGCGAUUGAAUGAGCCGAUGUCGGAUUAGCUAGUUGGCGGGGUAAAGGCCCACCAAGGCGACGAUCCGUAGCUGGUCUGAGAGGAUGAUCAGCCACACUGGAACUGAGACACGGUCCAGACUCCUACGGGAGGCAGCAGUGGGGAAUAUUGGACAAUGGGCGCAAGCCUGAUCCAGCCAUACCGCGUGGGUGAAGAAGGCCUUCGGGUUGUAAAGCCCUUUUGUUGGGAAAGAAAAGCAGCAGGUUAAUACCCCGCUGUUCUGACGGUACCCAAAGAAUAAGCACCGGCUAACUUCGUG